AGGUUAAUAAGACAACUAUAAGUGUAAGUGACGUCUAUAGGUUAAUAAGACAAAUAUACGUGUAAGUGACGUCUAUAGGCUAAUAAGACAACUAUAAGUGUAAGUGACGUCCAUAGGCUAAUAAGACAACUAUAAGUGUAAGUGACGUCUAUAGGUUAAUAAGACAACUAUAAGUAUAAGUGACGUCCAUAGGUUAAUAAGACAACUAUAAGUGUAAGUGACGUCCAUAGGAUAAUAAGACAACUAUAAGUGUAAGUGACGUCCAUAGGUUAAUAAGACAACUAUAAGUGUAAGUGACGUCCAUAGGUUAAUAAGACAACUAUAAG